GGAGAGAGGAGAGGAGAGAAGAGAAAAGAAGAAAAGAAAAGAAAAGAAAAGAAAAGAAAAAAGAAAAAAGAAAAGAAAAAAGAAAAGAAAAAAGAAAAGAAAAGAAAAGAAAUCCAAGGCAGAAGGAGAUGAGUGCAGUCUUUCCGUGAUACUGUGCCUGGAAGUCUCACACCACUUUCCUGUAGGCUCUCAUCUUCGUUUUUCCAUGCUACUGUCACACAGAGGAUUCUUAAGCCCUAGGCACUGAAUGCCUGCAUCUUUUUAGCAGCCGACUGCACUUAUCUUUUGAGCUUUGAACCAUGCCCCAGUGGAUAAGUAAUUUCAUUUAGGUAAACAGUUUCCAGAAAUAGAUUCAAACUGCGAGCAAACAGCUUGUUUGCGAUAACAGGCCCUGCCUGCCGACCGAUGUCUGAGCCUAAUGAUCUCACGUCUGCUGAUGCUGGUGGCUGACUUCCCCUCUUUGUCAGCUGUCCUGCAAAUGCUCCCAAGGUACGAGUCAGGUCGUGGAAAUAAACUGGGUUUUGCCUGGCCUGAUCUGGGAACCAGGAGGAGUCACGCACAACCGCAGAGUGGUCGGUCCGACAUGAGGGAACUUCCUGCCUGGUCUUCCAGCUGCUGAAAGACCAGUUAACACUGUUGCCAUCCCUCUGCCGGAACGCGUCCUAUGCAAUGGCACUCAUUAUAGUUAAUGAGCUGUUAGCAUUUCUAUUAUGGCAUUUUUUUUAGGGUUUAUAACCUGGUAAUAACAAUAAUUUGUCUCAGCCCGAAACUCCAGUAACAGGCAAUGGCCCAGCCAUUGCUUUUGCUCUUAGUAAGGUUGCUGGGGUGGGGCGAGGGGGUGCUGCCCCACGUGUGUAGCAUACAAAAGGGAACAUGUUUAGAAACUAGAGACCUUUUCCUUUUUCCUUUUUUUUUAACAAUCAAAUUGGGAGCACCUGGCUGGCCCAGUCAGGAGAGCAUGUGACUCUUAAUCUUGGGGUGGUGAGUUC